UCCCUCUCAGGGUCGCCCCUGGAGAGUUUCCAGUACUCUACCAGUCUCGACUGUGGAAGGGAGAAUAAAGCAGAGGCCUACCCAUUCCAUUCCUAGUUUGGGCAGUGGCUAGCGAGUGGAAUGUGAACUGCUACAAGU